UACGGGAGGCAGCAGUGGGGAAUAUUGCACAAUGGGCGCAAGCCUGAUGCAGCCAUGCCGCGUGUAUGAAGAAGGCCUUCGGGUUGUAAAGUACUUUUCAGUCGUGAGGAAGGUGUUAAGGUUAAUAACCUUAGCAAUUGACGUUAGCGACAGAAGAAGCACCGGCUAACUCCGUGCCAGCAGCCGCGGUAAUACGGAGGGUGCGAGCGUUAAUCGGAAUUACUGGGCGUAAAGGGCACGCAGGCGGUUAAUUAAGUUGGAUGUGAAAUCCCCGGGCUUAACCUGGGAAUGGCAUUCAAGACUGGUUAGCUAGAGUCUUGUAGAGGGGGUAGAAUUCCAUGUGUAGCGGUGAAAUGCGUAGAGAUGUGGAGGAAUACCGGUGGCGAAGGCGGCCCCUGGACAAAGGACUGACGCUCAUGUGCGAAAGCGUGGGGAGCAAACAGGGAUUAGAUACC
rnacentral:rRNA from 1 species